GUCCCGUAAGACGCUGCCGUCUUUGUCCGUUCUAAUGGAGUGCAAGUUGCCAGCGUCCUAAUGCAGUGAGGAUUUCACCAUUCCUAACUAACUAUUCGUUAAGUGGUUCAAAAUACCUUGAUUUUAUAUGAACUUGCAAGGAUUUUGUUGCCAUGCGACGCCCAGGAUGGCUACAGACGGAAGGGCUGCCCGUAGAGCAGAGAGCGCUGCUUACGACCCGCCGCCCUGCACAGCUGCUCGGAAUCCUGCCUCGCUGUUCUUUAAUGAAGGAAGAAGAAAUGCAAUUUAAAGACUGCGCCCGUGGCUCGUUUCAUAGGAGCCGAUUGGCACUGACAGCUGUCGAUACAAUGAAAGUCGCAUCCAUCAGCUUCGGGAGCGAGAUCUGUCGUUUCCUCCUGACUGGAAGCCCGGACCGCUUCAUUAAUGCGAUUCACAAAUAUAAAAUCGGCCAAAGAAAUGAACGGACCUGACACAAGCCCUUAAUAUAACCGGGUGACCUUGACCUUAACCCCAGCAACAUGCGGAGACAAGACUUCGGGGUCAAAAUCAAAGCAUAUUUCCUCAAACCCGGGCAGAUAAUCAGAUGGGGGGCAGACAUGCAACAUCAACGCGCACAGGAGAAUAUUUUUCAUCACCAAUAAAAUUAUGU